CAACACUAAUGAAUAUAUGCUUCGGUAUAUAAAACAUUUACCGAAAACUAAAUAUUUUCGUAGGGGUUAACACAUAGAUUUUGAGAAAAUUUCAAAAAAUAUGAAAAUAUUGUUUUAAUGCAUAGUUGUAUCUUGCACUAAUAUAUGAUGAUGUUUAAAGAGGUUUGGAGCCUUUGUUGUCUCCCUUUUUCAAGAAAAUAGCAAUUUUGUAGUGGUUAUUCCACCGAUUUAGGCAGUAUUACAAAGUUUUACUAAAUUAAGU